ACCCUCAUUUCCUUACCCAGCAGAUCGAAACACUGAUCUGUGUUGUUAUAAAAGGAAGAAAAGUAAAAUAGAAGCUUUCAAUUCUUUGUAUGUUGAGUCAGUAUGAGUUGAAGCUGACUCAACAGCAUCUAACACCC
rnacentral:snoRNA from 1 species